GCGCUCCCCGCCUCCCCGCAAAUAGUGAAUUUGUUGUUUUGUUGGUGUUUUUUGCGUUUGUUUGUUUAUUUAUUUGUGUUUUCUCUAACGCUCGCACCAUUCCACGGCUGCUCUGCUGCAACCGAAAUGGCUCUGGAAAGAUGACCGGGGCUGGUGGGGCCAGGGCUGCCGCCUCCGACCCUGGCACGGGCUGUCUCGAGCUAGAUGGAAAAAAAAAAAAAAAAAAAGAAAAAAAAAACCAAACCAAUAAACCAACAAAAUUAAGUUUUCUUUUCCAGGCCACCUGGACACCACUGAGCUCCCCCAAGCCUGGAGAAGCAGUCCCUUGGAGAAUACCCAGUUUCCCUGUGGACACAUGGCACAGGUCUCAUGUGGAAUGCCUGAGACUGCUGAACAAAUGUCAGACAAGACUGAUCCAAGGGAAGAAGGAAACAGACUCUGUGAAACAGAAGCACUGAAAUCAAGACUGUGUCCUCAUAUGUUCCUGUCUAGGAAGUUCUUCUGAGCUUUCACAGCUGCUGAGAAAAAAUGUCUUGGAAAGUCACAUCCUCUACUUGAAAUUCCCCCUCUUAAAAAACCUUCUGCCCAUUUGAUUUCGUAAUAUCCCAUUCAGAUUUUAAAUGGUCAUGACGAAGAACAUUCUUCAGCUUAACUUUAUCUGGAACUCAUCAUCAUUUCAUCAAUGGAUUGAAACAAUUUUUAGUGACUGGAGAGUCAACAAGCCAAAUUUAUAUCUGAGGCUGAAUACAAACCAGGGUUUUAAAUGUUUUUAAUAGAAUGAUGAUUCUUCCCUGGCUACAAGAAGAAGAAAUGGCAAACUGCUUUGAAGCAGAUAUGCUCUUGCAAGAUUUUCAAGCCCUCUGUGCAUCUAAAACACUUCUACCCAUACCUAACACACAGAAGCCAGCUUGUUCCUGACCAUGGAAAGGUAGUCAAGGAGGCAAUAUAAAAAUAAACCAGCAGUCCUUCACCUCACCUCCACCUUGCAUCCAAAAAAAAAAAAAAAAAAAAAAA